GUGCCAGCAGCCGCGGUAAUACGUAGGGUCCAAGCGUUAAUCGGAAUUACUGGGCGUAAAGCGUGCGCAGGCGGUUGUGCAAGACCGAUGUGAAAUCCCCGAGCUUAACUUGGGAAUUGCAUUGGUGACUGCACGGCUAGAGUGUGUCAGAGGGGGGUAGAAUUCCACGUGUAGCAGUGAAAUGCGUAGAGAUGUGGAGGAAUACCGAUGGCGAAGGCAGCCCCCUGGGAUAACACUGACGCUCAUGCACGAAAGCGUGGGGAGCAAACAGGAUUAGAAACCCCGGUAGUCCA
rnacentral:rRNA from 1 species